rnacentral:lncRNA from 1 species
AUUACCCAAAUAAAGAACAUUGGGAGGGGAGAAGGCCACGAGGUUUCUUUGCAGCCGUGCACGCGUGAGGUGGAGAUAACUAUCUGUGCAUGUUGAAGAAAAGAAAAAUAAGAAAAGAAAAGAGGAAAGAGAAAUGUAAUUACCUUCCCUUUGUUUCUUUCUUCUUCUUCUUCGUUUUCUCUCUAUUGUUCAAAACCCUAAUGAAAUUUCUUUAUGGCUUUAUUAAGUAGAUGAUACAUACAUCAAUGUGAAGUUUAGGGAGAUGAGAAGGAUAUGCAACAAGGAUUUACGCGGUUCGGCCAAAAUGAAGCCUACGUCCACGGGAAGGAUCUUUCUUCAUUGAUGAAGAUGAGUACAAAAAAAAAAAAAACCUCUCUUUUAUCUCUUCUUUUUCUUGUAUAUGAAAAGCUAUGUAUAUGUAAGAACUGAUUUGUUAGUAAUACACCUUUAUUUUUAUGAAAAUCUG